GCAAAAUUCCCAGGUUCCUCUUCCUUCGCCCCAAGGUUUGCAUACUCCCUCCAUCCACUCUCAAUUCCUACCUUCCAAAGAUUUGCUCAGAAUAUGCCGGUCUUCUUGAUGGUCUGGUCUCUCAGUGGGAGAUGCUCUUCCUGGCUGGGUCUAGUCAGCCAUCUUAGCCCUGAUUUUAACCAUUCUUAAACCUUAUCAGAUCCUACCAUCCAUUUAUCCUACCACCUUUCCACUGUCCAUCAUUUUCUUCAUAUACUCACUUCCUUUCACAGCUUAAAUCUACAGUUCAACUUCAUAAUUAUUUUCUUGCACAUAUUCUCAACUCCCUUGCCUCUCUCAGCUUCUCACUCUCUCCUGGUGAAACCCUAAUACUGGGGAAGCCAUCACUCCAUCUAUUCUGUCCUUGUAUCCUUGCAGUUGAAAGAAUCUGCAGAAAAACAUACUACCAUGCUGACUGGUCUCACUUUUAAUGCCUGGCCAGUCUGCACAAGUGGGCUCUUAAUGCUGCCCAACAAUCAAACCAUAUUUCCCUAGUCAUUCGCACUCCCACCCUGUAUAAUUGUUUCAUAUCUUCUAGUCUCACCUCAAACCUCCAUCAACUACUUGUUCAUCCUAAUUUUCAGCUGACAAUCAUGCUUCCUGUAUCUCUGAGAAAAUAAAAGUGGAAGAGAAUCCCCAUAAGCUUCCAUCACCAUCACAUCUACUCAUCUCAUAUAUGUACCUCCUUACACUCUUUUUUACCGUUAAUACAGAUUAGUUGUCCACACUUCUAUGCAAGCUUAAUGCUUCAUCUUGUCUACUCCUGCUCAAGAACAUCACACUUACAAAUAUUCCCAAUUCCCUCUUCUUUUCCAUAUCACAAAUGUUUCUCCCCCUGCUGAAAUCUUUCCCAUAUGCAUAAAAGCAUGCUAACAUUGCUACCAUCUUAAAUAACAACGAUAAUGAUAAAUUCUCUCAUUGUCUUACUACCCUUCCAGGUUAAACUCCAUUACACUCCUUCCCUUUAAACAAAACUCCUAAUUCAGAGUUGUCUAUAUUCAAUGUAUCUAAUUUACCUGCACUCAUUCUCUUUUGAAUCAACUCCAGGCAGCCCCAGCCAAACUGCUCUCAUGAAGAGAAAAUAUGAAUCCCUUUCAUAUUUGAUUGUUAAAUUCUACAAGAAAUACUCAGUCCUCUUAUUUUUAUUUUUUAAUAUAUUUUUAUUUCAAUACCUUUUUGGGUACAAGUAGUUUUUUGUUAAAUGGAUAAAUUAUAUAGUCAUGAAUUCUGAGAUUCUAGUGCAUCUGUCACAUAAGUAGUGUACAUUGUACCCAAUAUGCAGUUUUUUUAAUCACACAUACCCCUUCCAACCUCCCCCUUAUGAGUCUCCAAAGUCAAUUAUAUCACUCUGUAUGCCUUUGCGUACUCAUAUCUUAGCUUUCAUUUAACAAGUGAGAACACAUGGUAUUUGGUUUUCCAUUCCUUAGUUACUUCGUUUAGAAUAAUGGCCUCCAAUUCCAUGCAGAAAUCCUCUAGUGAGGGUUUCUAUUUCUUCCUGAUUUAAUCUAGGAGAGUUUUAUGUUUCUAGGAACUUAUCCAUUUUCUCUAGGUUUUUUAUGUGUGCAUAGAGGUGUUGAUGGUAGUCUCAAAUGAUCAUUUGUAUCUUUUGUAUUUCUGUGAUGUUGGUUGUAAUUUCUCCAGUUUUAUUUCUAACUGAGCUUAUUUGAAUCUUCUUUCUUUUGUUGGUUAAUCUAGCUAAUGGUCUAUCAAUUUUGUUUAUAAUUUCAAAUAACUAAUUUUGUUUCAUUGAUCUUUUGUAUUGUGUUUUGUUUCAAUUUUAUUAAGUUCUGCUCUGAUCUUCGUUAUUUCUUUUCUUCUGCUAGCUUUGGGUUUAGUUUGGGUAGACAGUUUCUCCUGAUUAUUCUUGAACUUAUUUUUUAUUUGUAUUUUGUUAAAUUUAUUUUCCCCCUUUAAGGAUGUGACUUUUAAUGUUUAUAGUUUAUAGCUUAAUUUGGCUCUUGGUGCUUUCAGGGCUGAAGACUGUGUAUGAGUUCCUUGGUUAUAGAGAGUCUUUGUAUGAUGGCUUCCUCAGAUGCUGGUUGCAGUACCAACGUGCUCGAGUUUGGCCCUAUGCCAUGCAGGAUGAGACUAUAUUAGAGUUGAACAGUAGAAUGCAGAGACUGUUGGGGAGCAUCUUAGAAGCUGCUUAACACAACUAUGGUAAGUCCUUGAGUUCACGACCAUGAAGAAGUGAUUAGUCAAUUAUCUGAGAACCACUUCCUCCU
rnacentral:lncRNA from 10 species